AACGAACGCUGGCGGCAGGCUUAACACAUGCAAGUCGAGCGGAGCGAGGGUGCUUGCACCUUAGCUUAGCGGCGGACGGGUGAGUAAUGCUUAGGAAUCUGCCUAUUAGUGGGGGACAACAUUCCGAAAGGAAUGCUAAUACCGCAUACGCCCUACGGGGGAAAGCAGGGGAUCUUCGGACCUUGCGCUAAUAGAUGAGCCUAAGUCGGAUUAGCUAGUUGGUGGGGUAAAGGCCUACCAAGGCGACGAUCUGUAGCGGGUCUGAGAGGAUGAUCCGCCACACUGGGACGGAGACACGGCCCAGACUCCUACGGGAGGCAGCAGUGGGGAAUUGUUCGCAAUGGGCGCAAGCCUGACGACGCGACGCCGCGUGGAGGAUGAAGACCUUCGGGUCGUAAACUCCUUUCGACCGAGAUGAAUUCCUGCCGACCUAAUACGUCGGCAGGGUGACAGUAUCGAGGGAAGCAGCCCCGGCUAACUCCGUGCCAGCCGCCGCUGUAAAAC
rnacentral:rRNA from 1 species